CCUUACCAGCCCAUGGGAGAAGUUCCAGAACAAUACCUGAUAUGAACAGCUGCUAGCUGUGGGUUUUAGAAUUUCUGCUUUGGUUCACCAGUAGGAGCACUGGGGAGAGAAGAACAAAAUGGAGCACACAUUCUUCAGCAGAGAGAGGAAAGUCAUAAGGAAACUGGAGUUUUCACUACAGAGCUAAGAAGUUGAGGUGGCAGGGGGAGGAUUGAGGGUGACCUUGCCUAUAUCAUGAGAAUAAAAAAAUGCUUCCAAAGGCUCUGAAGACUGGCGGCCCAAAGGGAAGUGUGGGAAAGCAAAUAGUAACCCACAGCAUGGGAGACAUUGUGGAUCCACAAUCUUUGGUGAAAAGAACGCUUUUAACCCUUCAGCCCUCACAAUGGAGUUCUCACAACUGCUUGGUGCCUAUGUAUGAGACAGCUCUCCAGUCACCACGUGGUGCUGCUUGCUUGGUGUGCCAACCUAUCUGAUAAGCCUGGAAUAUUGCAACAUGGGCCAUGUGGAAGGGCCUGUUUGAGUCCAGGCUGAAUGCUGCUGUAUAUCUCCACACCUCCAUCCUUGUUCUCUGAUUCUGUGGGCUGGGAAAGGAGGGCAAUAGUUCAUCAACCAGAGGAGAGCUAGAAAAAGCCAGAGGGUUAGCUGUAGCUGCAAGGGAUCCAUUGCAAUGUGAAAUAGGUUCGUAAGGGAACACAUGAGCUUUGCUAUUUUCACCCUUAAAUUGAUUUUCAACAUUUCAGGGUUAAAAUGGCAGGCACUGCACGGCAAUAGCAAAAGCACUAUGCCCUUAUUAGCACUGGGGUAACCUCAGGGAUGCCAAAGUGCUGCAUUAGUGGCAGUAAGAGCAUGAGCCAUUGAGGUACUGGAAGCUGUCAAGUGGCAUCCUGCAUCUGCAUUGGUAUCUUAACAGGUUUUGGUUUCCCACAUCACAUUCCAGCCAGGAGUGAUCUGAAAUCAUUGCGCAGACUGAAUGAAUUCAGCCACAAGUACCCAUAUUCCCUGGCACCCAGAAUGCCAGCACCCUGACAACAUCCCUGGAUAAGGGAACCCUAGAGAUUAGAAAUACAUCGCUUUCACAUGGACUUCGAAUUGAUAAGCCCAAAUUGUUUGAACCUGAAUGCAUAAAGAGAGGGUGUGUACACACACAGAAAAUAACUCCGUUUAAGGUCGUGCCUUUAGCUGAAGUAAUACAGAUUUUGAUAAACUACAUUUUAUUCAACUUCUUUAAUAGAUUAGGCAAUCUGAUUGUUUUUCUUUCUUUCUUCCUUCCCCCCUCCCCAGAGAUAGCCACCUAUCUUUUUCUUUUUCUAUGGACAUCUUGUCCCCGAAGAUAAAAGCCACAUUCUCCUAGUCUCCAAACUUCUGGUAAAUUUUCCUCUUCCUUUUGGGAGUGACUUGCUUUUCGAGCUUAUUACGGCAGGUCUAACAGUAAUGAAAUUAAAAUACUGUGAUUUUUUUAUGACAUAUCAGACACAAUUGCAAGAUUGUCCACUCUACAUUGUAGACCACAGCCAGUGGCUGACUCAUUAGAUACAAACAUCUGAUAUACACAAGAGUCUUAAGCAUUAGCAAAUGUGUUAGGGAGGAUGCUGCAAAUAAAUAAAAUCCAUUUGUCUUACA
ensembl:lncRNA